UGGCGGGGCUCCUCUCGGGGCAGACGCGGGCAUGAAGAAGGCCUGGCCCCAGAAACAGGCACCUCUGCCUGGCCCGCGCUCCCUAACGAUCAGGAACCCCGGCCACUGUGAGCAGUGGUAGCCCACAUCGAGGGGGGUGGAGAUGGGGAGUGGCAGGCCGCGUCUCCUUGCGGGUGGGAGGGCCUGGGGGGGGUGCGUUCUGGCCACACCAGGGGCACUGUGGCCCCCGGACACAGCCCCGGAUGGUCCCGCGGCCGGGGGCAGAGGCACAGGGAGCUGUGGUGCAGCUCGAGACAUCGUGGGUCUAGAUGAGGGCCCCAUGACAUGGAAGCUGCCGCCAGCCGAUGUGCCCACCGCAGGCCAGCGGCCGGGGCUCCUAGGCCCAGGGGGACCGCGGCUCCUAGGCCCAGGGGGACCGCGGCUCCUAGGCCCAGGGGGACCGCGGCUCCUAGGCCCAGGGGGACCGGGGCUCCUAGGCCCAGGGGGACCGCGGCUCCUAGGCCCAGGGGGGACCGCGGCUGCUGUGGGGCCUGGCCAGCCUGCCCGGGACAGUCAGGCCCAGGCUGAAUGGGGCCUUGUGCAGCCAACAGAGCCACCUUUCUCCACCCCCGGCUCCCCGCCCCUCCUGGGGACACAGUGUGGCCUUUAUCCCAGCCUGGCCCAAAGCUCUGAGCUGGGAGGGGGUUUCCCAGUAGAGAGGCCGGGCUCCUGGCGAUCAAGUUGUCCAGUGUGAUCAGCGGGCUUUUCUGGCUAAUGGGCCUCCCAUGGCUGUUGGGUCCCGGCCCAAUGGCCCUGUGGAAGGAAGCCUUGAUCCUUGAAGAAGAGGCCCAGGUCAGCGAGGCCCCAAGGUUCUGACCUUCCCUUCCAUGUGGGAUGGAGUGCUGGGAGCCAGGGCUUCUCCAGUGGGAAGGCGGAGACCCCAGUUCCCAAGGCCUCAGAGGGAGGCUCUGCCAGGCUGGAACCCCAGGGAGGCCAGCCUGCUGGAGUGGGAAGCACAGGGCAGCUUCUGGGAUCCUCAGCCCCACCCUCCCCUCCCAGCCCAGCCCAGCCCAGCCAGUGCCCAGGGAAAGCAAAUAUUUGAGAAGUUCACAGGCUGGAGCGGGAAGGCAGAGGCAGUGGGUGGGCUGUCUGUGUGGCACAGCCUGGGGUGAAGGAGCCUGGGUCUCCUCUGGCACUCCUGAGGACUUGGCACCUCCCUGCUCUCCACCCCAGCCCUAGGCUGUGCUAAGACCUCGGGGAGACAACACCAUGGGGGCAGGGGUGCAGAGGCAGCGGUCCUGGCCCCUGGAAGGCGUCUCAGCCCCUCAGCAGCCUCUGUAUGAGAGCCAGGGGCUGCAAGAAGUGGGGAGACAGGUCUGUACCCCGCUGUGGGUGAGACAGGUCUGUGUACUGAAGUCAUACCCUCACAGGCUCCGCCCCCAGGCUCACUCUAUCCCUGGCCCUCCCAGUCUCGGUCCUCCUGGGGCAGAGGGGAGUGACAGGGUAGGGUUCGGGGGCCAGGCCCAGCCCCUCCUCAACAGGGCCUACUGGUAAGUCACGACGACCCCAGAGGCAAGCUUGAGGGGCCAGCACCCAGGAGCAUGUCCUGUCUCCACCCGGGCCUGCGCCCUCACGCAGGCUGCACCCAGCUGUCAGGCAGGCUUGAAGCCUCUGGGCUUGUGGUCUUGAUAGUGACGGGGACUGCGACUGGGGGUCAAGAGUGUGGUGGGCCAGGAUCCCGGCCGAGCCUUCUCACUGUGGGGUCACACUGAAUCCUUACAGCAACCCUGUGAGGCGAAUACCGCUGUCACCACCCCCAUUCUACAGAUGAGGAAACUGAGACUCAGAGAAAUUAACCAGCUUGUCCAUGGCUACCGAGUGUGGGGUUCAGGCUCCGAUUCCAGGUUUGACUGGUGACUGCAGGGCAGGGACACUUCCUCUACUUCGGGGUCUGGAAGGUAACUGGGUACCCAGGGUGGGGAGGGGCGGGGACUGCAGAACUGGGAGAGCAGCGGGCGGCUCGGGGCGGGGGGGGGGGGGGGGGUGCG
rnacentral:lncRNA from 1 species